GGCUUUGGGCAACGUGGUCUAGUGGAGGGUGUCCCUGCCCAUGGCAGGGGGGUUGGAACUAGAUGAUCUUUGAGGUCCCUUCCAACCCAAACCAUUCUGUGAUUCUAUAAUGCAAUUGGUAGUUUGUCACUAGUACAGGUAACUUGCGUACAUGAUAUCAAACCUGAACUUUGAUGUCUAGUACGGAUGACCUGGUAGCUAAAGAGAAUUUGAGCAUUUAAACUGGCAAUGUUACUUGAGUCUAGUAGAACUUUUACAAUCUGUAGCUUUCAUGAGAGCACAAAGGUAAAGAUUAAAUUAUUUUCUUAAAAAACAAAAUGUUUUGCAUAUUUUUUUCCUUCUCUCUUGUGCUAACAAACGAUUAUUUCAGAUCUCUAAAAAUGUGUAACCAGAGCUGUGUAGGGAAAUAUUUCUUUCAUAAAUAAGUGACUGUGGAUGAAACCGCUUUGAAAGAAAAACAAUUAAAAGAAGAAACAGUUCAAACUUCUGUACUUUAAGAGACGUCACAUUAGCAAAACUUUUAACCAGACCCUGAAUUAAGUCCACGAAUAGGUACAGCCUGAGAAUCAAAGAAUAAGAGAUUCAGUUUCCAUAACCAAGAUGUGUAACUUCACUGUAGUUAAGUUACCCCAAUUAAUACCAGCUGAAAAUCUGCAAGAAAGUAGCAAUUUGAGAACAAAAUCUUUUAAAUAGCUUCUGUUUGUGCGUCCUUUGCCCCCCAAGCCAAUGGUAAUAUUCCCACUAGCGUUGACAGUGCACUGAUUUAAUUCAGUGGGGUCACAAUGUGGAAGCUGUUAUCAAUUUCUUUAUUCAGAACUAUGUCUUCCUUAAAUAAACAAAGUUUGACUGAGGCAAGACUCAUGCUAGUUCUCAGCAAAGUCUUCAUGCUAUUAAGAAAAUCAGCAGAAUAUAGGAAAUAGUCUCCUGUACAGCUCUUCCUGUAUAAUAGCAAAAGAAGAAUAACUUUUUUUUUUGUCAAAUGUGUAAAGAAUUUACUGCUGUUAAAAUCCAGGCAGUAAUUAAAACAAUUUGAGGAUAUGCCCAAUGGCUGUUGCCGUGGUCUAACCCUUUCCCUCAUUUACAGCUUCUGCUAUUUUGUUCCUACUGAACCUGGCCCAUAGUCCUGCUCUACUGUCAUCACUGUCGCUUCAUCCUCGUGCUACCAUCUCCCCUUUCUGGGACCAUCACUGCUGCUUCUGCCUUGAACUGGUGUGCCAAAACGCUUAAGCUAAGAAGCCUAGCUGUUUGAGCAUGGCUCUGUUCUCUGUCACUUGGGCAUCUCUGUAGGUCACAUUUUGAGAGUGCACAUAAUCCAAGUGAGAGCCAGUACAAGCUAAGGUCUGGGAGAGCUUAUGUGCUGGGGACAACCAUCAGAGCUGUAACAAGUUGACAGCUUACAGAGGUUGGUCUUUUUUGGUUGAAAAAUCCUGUAUUAUAACAGGUAACAAAGCCUGAUCGUGAAUACUCUAACAGAGAAGAAUUCAGAGUGGCUUUCUGAGAACAGAAGGAUUUAAUUUACGCAGUAAUUAAAAAGGGGAGGUUCUUUGCAUUCUGGCAUUCCGCUUUAGCAUGGUCAAGUAUUUAAAGGGUAAUUCUACCACAAUAAUAAAACUUUAUGGCAUCAAAAAUUUAAGUAUUUUAGUAGCUCUCGUGUACGAAGGCUGAAGAGCAAGACAAAAACGCUUCCUGACAUGGAGGAAGGUCCCUGCUCUCUUGGUCCCUAUGGACUGUGACAAGCAGGAAGAGCUGUUGCUCUCUGGAAAUCAGAGAUUCAGACAGGCAUCAACAUGCCGAUGUGCCUCAGAGGCUGCAGCAGGCUAAAUGAAACAGCUGCAAACACUUGUCCGUGUCUUGCGUCAGCAAGUGAUCUCUACUACAGAACUUCAGAACCCUGUUUUCUUGCAGGUCCUGUUCUCCCUUAGGAGCUUGCUCAACAAAUGGAGGAAAAUUUUCCUCUCAGAGAAAAAGCAGAAUGCCUUGAGAGCACAGACAGGCAAAUGCCCCUAAAUCCUUUGCAAUCUUAUGUUUACCUCCCAGCUGUAUGCACAAAGAGCAACAGAAAGGAACUUGUAGACCGACACCUGAUAAGAAGGAAAACGAUAACAUCAUAUACAGCUAAUUCUCAAUUGCUCAUUUUUCGGUCAAGCCACUGCCAGAAGUCAUACAAAAGAGUGAAGGAGGAAGGGACAGCUUGAUAGUUGAAAACCAAAGUUGAAAUUAAAGACAGUUCUUCCAUAAAUUAGUGCAGGACUGGUUUGGCAGGGCCGGAUUUUCUCAGACACUUCCCAUCCUUCAGGGAUUUACAGCCUCAUGAGUGAUUGCUUCCUUCUUGAGGAGGUAAUUAACCUUUGCCAAAUAAUUAAGCAAGGCUUGGUCAGGGGUUAUGGAAGUGUGACAUUUUAUGAACUGCUCAUAUAGACUUCCAGAGGGACUGAGCUGCCUCUAUUUGUUAGGAAAUUUUGAAAUUCUCAGCUUUUAAUUCAAGAAAUACUAGUAAAUAAAUCAGAGGAUCCUUCUUAGAGACCAAAUAUUACUCUGUUCAGCAGAUUCCCUUAAAAACUGAGGGCAUUUAGAAAGUCAUAUCCUAUCAACGAUUUUGGAACAUGCUGGACAUCAAAUUUGCUCCUUAACAUUAUUUCAGAUAAUUUCAUGGCCUUUUCUUUAGGUGAUUGUUGUCUACUGCCACAUAAUUUCUCAAUAAUGAAAGUCUGCUAUGCCAUCAAUGAACAUAGCAAAGUCAAGCCAGGCAAUAAAGUGGAUAAACCCCCAAUAUUUUCUAGUUUCAGUUAGAAAAUGAAUGACAUUAAGGAUGACAUUUAGAACCAAAAUCUAGCCUUUUUUAAUUACGUUUGUAUUAGAAAUCAAUAUAUCUAUAGAAUGUUUAUUUAAAAGUCAUGAGUAAUCUCUUAUUUUCUCCACGUAACUCUGGGUGUUUUUUCCCUGCGUGUAGCAGACUGACAAAAAAAAAAAAAAAAAAAACCAACCCAACAGCCAUAUAUAUUUAUAUUAAUAGCUACUGACAUGAAAUCAGAUGAGCCAGCAGUUUUCAACAUAACUAAAAUGUGAGGAUCAAACUUCAAAACAGUGUUGCUCAGCAUAAGCAUCAACAGGUCUUAAGGGGAGUAUUCAUGGCAGAUUAUACUGUUGAACAUUUUCCAGUGUGACAGGAGAUCAGGCAAACAAAACAAGAUUAUGCGUUAUGAAGGAACAGCAUAAAACACUCUUAGCAAUAAUAAUUAAAAAACCAAACAACAACAACAACAAAUCCACUUUGAUCUCCUCUGAAUAAAACAUAUCCCACCCAGUAGGAAACGAGCAGAUUUCCUUUUGCUUUUUAAAUUUUAUGUUUAUAAAAAUAUUCAGUAAAUUAAUGCUUCGCAAGCUCCAGUCACGUUACUGUGGUCAGAGGCUGGUUUUCCCAUAGGACAGACUUGCUCCACCCUCAGCACUCCAUUCCCACCCCGAAGCAAAUCACAGAGGAUAUUUGAGAAAGAAGCUACUGUAGUCCAAAUCUAUGAAAGGUAUUAAAAAGAGAAGAUAGCGGCUUACCAGAGGGUUUGUGAUAUGCUUGUUUUCUUUAGCAGAAAGGCUACUGUAAUUGAAUAGUGACUCCCUAGCUGCUGCUCUAUAUGAGCAUACGUCUGUUUCACCAGGACGGGGCAUCUGGAAGGAGCUGAUCCAGCAGGUCAAGAGUCUUAAGGCACUGGACUGAGUUGAGGCACCAGAAAACAGGAUUGCAUCAGAAUGGGCGACUAAUCCAGACAGGAAAGUGAAAUAAUUGAAUUCAAUCACAGAUAUCCCUCCAAUCAGCCUCAGUAAUCCAACUGGAAAACAAGCAGGAGAGUUGCAUCAUGUUGUACGUUCCACACUGCAACCCACCGUGACUUAAAGCAAUAAUAAAACCAACCCAAAUCUUUCCAUGUCUUGGAGAAUUUGACUAGCACUUCUGCAGUGAGGAUUCUCCUGUGCCAACCUACUGCUCAUAGCGAUUCUUCUGUGUGUGGUAGCUACACAUACACGCAUUUGCUUAUGGAACAGCAAAACGAGGUGCACUUGCCUGAAUAAGCCUGUGACACUUUCUGGUUUCUUGCCUACACUUCCAUUACUGCUCAGGAAGGCUUUUCAUACUCUGCACUGGAAACAAGAGUACUUCAAUUAUUUCCAGAGCCCUCUUCAUUCAUACCACUGCCUGGAUGCAUCAGACAGUUGAGCUACACCUCUGCCAAGUCCUCUGCUUCCUCCUGUUCCUUACCUCUGCCCUCUGCACCUUAGCGCUCGGCCAGCACAGGCUCCCUCAGUCCUUGUCUGCAACAGAUGCACUUACCAUUAACCCCGACUGAAAAAAUACUGCCCAACACCCUCUGCUGUUAGCUGCAAGAGUCUGAAUGACAAACAAAUGCCACUGUUUGUGUUGUCUCAGUAAAAUCAGAUCUUUACUUACUUCCUAUGAAGUUGACACAGGACAGAGCACAGCGCACCGACCGCAUCAAGGAACCUCUACAACCAUGUUAACUCAAGAUAUGGGAGCAGAACACAAGGAUUAGCCAGUACUAAGUGACUAGGUGUCCCAUCCCACUUAGGUGGGUUAGGGCGAGGUUAACUUUUUAAUUCUCUGCGUGGUAAUCAGGAGUAAUGACAAUUACUCUAGAGGUUCAAACAAAUCACAAAUUUACUUAAAACUCAGCAGACCUACAAAAGAUAGAGGCUUGGCAAAAGUUAUAGCAACACUUAAAACUUAGCAGAACUAUAAAAGAUAAUGGCUUAGCAAAACUUGUAACGAUAUUACCCUAAUUCGCUGAAAGUGAAGUUAGAGACAAAGAGAGUGGUGGAGAGGAAAAGAGAGAAAGAAUGAGAGAAAGAAUGAGAGAGAGAGAGAGAGAGGAAAAGAGAAAAGAUAUCACCACCCUUGGAUCCAGCGAUGUUCUCUGCUUAUAGUUGUAGUCAUCAGGUGGUGGGCACGCGCUGAAAACUUAUGUUGUCCCUUUUUAUAACCCGAUGUGCCCGCCUCAUAGGCGGGGG